rnacentral:tRNA from 1 species
GCAUUGGUGUUUCAGUGGCAGAAUUCCCGCUUCCCACUCGGGAGACCCGGGUUCGUAUUCCUGGCUAAUGCA